rnacentral:SRP_RNA from 1 species
UCAUGACACGCCGUCUGUACUGUUUCCUCAGCGGAAGCCAAGGUGAUGGUAUGGAUAAUGUUGAAGAUAUGUGCUCAGGCAGGCAACUGAACAAGUAAACUUCUCACGGUGGGUGGAUAUGAGAUUGCAAUACU